CGAGUGAUCAUAUAAGAUUCCAUAAAAUUGAAACAUACAAAAAUGAUUAGCAUAGCCCACACGCAAGGCUGUCGCGAAAAAAUCAAGAAGCAGUAGUCCAAAAAGUUU
rnacentral:snRNA from 1 species